rnacentral:ncRNA from 1 species
GGGAAACGAUGUGGAAAGGCACAGACAGCCAGGAGGUUGGCUUAGAAGCAGCCACCCUUUAAAGAAAGCGUAAUAGCUCACUGGUCGAGUCGGUCUGCGCGGAAGAUUUAACGGGGCUAAGCGAUAAACCGAAGCUUGGGGUGCAUACUGUGUAUGCGCGGUAGAGGAGCGUUCCGUAAGCCGUCGAAGGUGGAUUGAGAAGUCUGCUGGAGGUAUCGGAAGUGCGAAUGCUGACAUGAGUAACGAUAAUGCGGGUGAAAAGCCCGCACGCCGAAAGCCCAAGGUUUCCUUGCGCAACGUUAAUCGACGCAGGGUGAGUCGGCCCCUAAGGCGAGGCAGAAAUGCGUAGUCGAUGGGAAGCUGGUUAAUAUUCCAGCACCUCGCGUAAGUGCGAUGGAGGGACGGAGAAGGUUAGGCAGGCCGGGCGUUGGUUGUCCCGGUGAGAGGGUUGAGGCGGUGCUCUUUGGCAAAUCCGGGAGCGCAACGUUGAGACCAAGGACGAGCCCUAUCGGGCUAAGCUGCUGAUAUCACGCUUCCAGGAAAAGCUCCUAAGCUUCAGCUUACGCAGACCGUACCGUAAUCCGACACAGGUGGGCAGGAUGAGAAUUCUCAGGCGCUUGAGAGAACUUGGGUGAAGGAACUAGGCAAAAUAGCACCGUAACUUCGGGAGAAGGUGCGCCCUCCAUGGUGAAUAGCUGAGGAGGGCCGCAGUGACCA